CCCAUGCCUUGUACUGUUCAUAUCUCAAGGAAUAGCCUGAGGCCUAGCCGGCGGAGAACUCGGUUAAUAACAUCACAAGCACUAAGAUAACUGAGAUAUUUUCCCAACCGAACAAUCGUCUACAUUUGGUUAAGUGAACUUGGUUAUGCUGCUGGUCGACAAGAUCAACCUUUUGGUCUCCAGGGAUCUUAAUAUUACUGUUAACUUUAUCUUUCAAUUUCUCCAUUGAGAAUUGCGUUUUCCUUUAGAAUUUGUCUUAUUUCUUAGCUUGUUGUUUAUACAAAACUAUAUCCCAUCUUAUUUUUCUUGUUAUUUCCUAGCCCAGUCAAGUUUUUUUUUUCGUUUAUAAUAGCCAAAGGCAACAUUUUAAUUCCCUUGUUCCACCGACAAUUUAAAAGAACGAAUCGGAAAUCAAAUCGAGGGCUUUACUCAGAUGGAAUUCUCCUAUUGCGCCAAGUAUUCCCAUACGAAAUCACUCAACGCUCUAAAUAAUCCCACCGAUUUGCAUUUGCUAUAAGAAAUAAUUACAUUGUUCAUUUCACGGUAGGUCAUUAAGACCGAAUUCAAAAUUGCCUUGUCUGUUUGCUCAAUGUUCGGCGAAAAAGUUUGAAAAAUGGGAUUUUCUUUCCAAACGUGAUAUCCACUCAGGAGAUCUUUAGCGAUUAAUUUCAGGGUUUUUGUUUGUUUGUACCCUUGAUCCUUCCGUCAUUAAAAAAGACACCAUAUCUUCUUUUUUGGCUUGCAUGUCCUCGGCCACACCGAAUUAAGGGACUUAUCUUUAAUUUCAUUUCGCUUGUCACCAGGUAACAGCCUUAAAAACACUAAUCGCCCACAUCUCCCCUUUAUCCACAUGAACCACCCAAAAAACCAUCGCUAGAAUGGGAACACAAGGCCUGGAGGAGCACGGCAAGAUCCCACUUGAAAAAGAUCCCACUUGACAAAUCUUCACAUGGAGAACGAACGUAGUUAGUGCUUCAUCUGAUCGUUUUUCUAGCUAAAACAACGUUGUACGAUGUGCUUAUAUACAGAAACAAAAAGCCUCCAAAACAAGUAAAAAAUGGUUAUUUAAUUAUAUUAUCAUUACUCUUAGUAGUCUCUUAGACUCUUAGUAGUCUGCCCUGAAGAAGUCUUUAUUAAAGACGAAAAUUUGG